rnacentral:rRNA from 1 species
GACGAACGCUGGCGGCGUGCCUAAUACAUGCAAGUCGAGCGAUGAAGCGUGGUGCUUGCACCAAUUUGAAGAGCAGCGAACGGGUGAGUAACGCGUGGGGAAUCUGCCUUUGAGCGUGGGACAACAUUGGGAAACGAAUGCUAAUACCGCAUAACAACUUUAAACAUAAGUUUUAAGUUUGAAAGAUGCAAUUGCAUCACUCAAAGAAGAUCCCGCGUUGUAUUAGCUAGUUGGUGAGGGAAAGGCCCACCAAGGCAAUGAUACGUAGCCGCCCUGAGAGGGGGUCCGCCCCCACUGGACCUGGACACCGCCCCAGACCCCUCCGGAGGCAGCCGUAAGGGAACUUCGGCAAAGGGGGGAAGUCUGGACGGGCCACGCCGGCUGGGUGGAGGAAGGUCUCCGGACGUUAAACUCUUGUGAUUGGGGAGAACGAUGGUGGGAGUGGAAUACGCAUGAAGUGACGGUACCUACUCAGAAAGCCACGGCUAACUACGUG